rnacentral:rRNA from 1 species
CCUAGUAACGGCGAGUGAAGCGGCAACAGCUCAAAUUUGAAAGCUGGCCUUCGGGUCCGCAUUGUAAUUUGUAGAGGAUGCUUUGGGUGAAACGCCAGUCUAAGUUCCUUGGAACAGGACGUCAUAGAGGGUGAGAAUCCCGUAUGUGACUGGAAAUGUUAACCUAUGUAAAGCUCCUUCGACGAGUCGAGUUGUUUGGGAAUGCAGCUCUAAAUGGGAGGUAAAUUUCUUCUAAAGCUAAAUAUUGGCGAGAGACCGAUAGCGCACAAGUAGAGUGAUCGAAAGAUGAAAAGCACUUUGGAAAGAGAGUUAAAAAGCACGUGAAAUUGUUGAAAGGGAAGCGCUUGCAAUCAGACUUGUUUAAACUGUUCGGCCGGUCUUCUGACCGGUUUACUCAGUUUGGACAGGCCAGCAUCAGUUUCGGCGGCCGGAUAAAGGCUCUGGGAAUGUGGCCUUCACUUCGGUGAAGGUGUUAUAGCCCAGGGUGUAAUACGGCCAGCCGGGACUGAGGUCCGCGCUCGGCUA